CAGCUGGGUGAUGUUUUAAAUGUAAUGAGCUGGGGCAUGUAAAGGCCAGCUGCCCCAAGAACCCCAACAGACUGCAGUUCAUUACACCAGAGUCACACCACAGGUCCUCAGGCCCAGAUGCCUCUCAGGUACCCUCAGAGCGAAGGGAAACUGUGAAUGUGGGCAGAAAAAAGGUUACAGCAUGGAGGGACACUGGAGCACAAGUGAUGGCUAAGUAGGGGCAU